rnacentral:rRNA from 1 species
AUAUUGCACAAUGGGGGAAACCCUGAUGCAGCGACGCCGCGUGGAGGAAGAAGGUCUUCGGAUUGUAAACUCCUGUUGUUGAGGAAGAUAAUGACGGUACUCAACAAGGAAGUGACGGCUAACUACGUGCCAGCAGCCGCGGUAAAACGUAGGUCACAAGCGUUGUCCGGAAUUACUGGGUGUAAAGGGAGCGCAGGCGGGAAGACAAGUUGGAAGUGAAAUCCAUGGGCUCAACCCAUGAACUGCUUUCAAAACUGUUUUUCUUGAGUAGUGCAGAGGUAGGCGGAAUUCCCGGUGUAGCGGUGGAAUGCGUAGAUAUCGGGAGGAACACCAGUGGCGAAGGCGGCCUACUGGGCACCAACUGACGCUGAGGCUCGAAAGUGUGGGUAGCAAACAGGAUUAGAUACCCUGGUAGUCCACACCGUAAACGAUGAUUACUAGGUGUUGGAGGAUUGACCCCUUCAGUGCCGCAGUUAACACAAUAAGUAAUCCACCUGGGGAGUACGACCGCAAGGUUGAAACUCAAAGGAAUUGACGGGGGCCCGCACAAGCAGUGGAGUAUGUGGUUUAAUUCGAAGCAACGCGAAGAACCUUACCAGGUCUUGACAUCCUACUAACGAGAUAGAGAUAUGUUAGGUGCCCUUCGGGGAAAGUAGAGACAGGUGGUGCAUGGUUGUCGUCAGCUCGUGUCGUGAGAUGUUGGGUUAAGUCCCGCAACGAGCGCAACCCUUAUUGCCAGUUACUACGUUAAGAGGACUCUGGCGAGACUGCCGUUGACAAAACGGAGGAAGGUGGGGAUGACGUCAAAUCAUCAUGCCCUUUAUGACUUGGGCUACACACGUACUACAAUGGCGUUAAACAAAGAGAAGCAAGACCGCGAGGUGGAGCAAAACUCAAAAACAACGUCUCAGUUCAGAUUGCAGGCUGCAACUCGCCUGCAUGAAGUCGGAAUUGCUAGUAAUCGCGGAUCAGCAUGCCGCGGUGAAUACGUUCCCGGGCCUUGUACACACCGCCCGUCACACCAUGAGAGCCGGGGGGACCCGAAGUCGGUAGUCUAACCGCAAGGAGGACGCCGCCGAAGGUAAAACUGGUGAUUGGGGUGAAGUCGUAACAAGGUAGCCGUAUCGGAAGGUGCGGCUG